UGCGCCUGCAAAGGAGGCAGCCUGUCCGCAUUUCAAUGUUUUGCAGGUAACAGGACAAGGUAUCCUCUCGUGAACCGCAAAUUUGCGGAUUCAAAAUCCUUC
rnacentral:sRNA from 1 species